GAUGAACGCUGGCGGCGUGCCUAAUACAUGCAAGUCGAGCGAACAGACGAGGAGCUUGCUCCUCUGACGUUAGCGGCGGACGGGUGAGUAACACGUGGAUAACCUACCUAUAAGACUGGGAUAACUUCGGGAAACCGGAGCUAAUACCGGAUAAUAUAUUGAACCGCAUGGUUCAAUAGUGAAAGACGGUUUUGCUGUCACUUAUAGAUGGAUCCGCGCCGCAUUAGCUAGUUGGUAAGGUAACGGCUUACCAAGGCAACGAUGCGUAGCCGACCUGAGAGGGGGCUCGGCCACACGGAACUGGAGCACCGUUCCAGCUCCUACCGGGGGCAGGCGUUGGGGAUUCUCCCGCAUGGGGCGAAAGCUUGACGGGGCAACCCCGCGGGAGUGAUGAGGUUCUUCGGAUCGUAAACCCUUUUUAUUAGGGAAGAAAAAAUGUGUAAGUACCUAGGAACGUCUGGACGUUACCUAAUCAGAAAGCCCCGGCUACUUCCUU
rnacentral:rRNA from 1 species